UAUUAAUGUGUGCCAGCAGCCGCGGUAAUACGGAGGAUCCGAGCGUUAUCCGGAUUUAUUGGGUUUAAAGGGAGCGUAGGCGGACGCUUAAGUCAGUUGUGAAAGUUUGCGGCUCAACCGUAAAAUUGCAGUUGAUACUGGGUGUCUUGAGUACAGUAGAGGCAGGCGGAAUUCGUGGUGUAGCGGUGAAAUGCUUAGAUAUCACGAAGAACUCCGAUUGCGAAGGCAGCUUGCUGGACUGUAACUGACGCUGAUGCUCGAAAGUGUGGGUAUCAAACAGG
rnacentral:rRNA from 1 species